GAAUGCUAAAAGAAUGGAAAUUUAAAAAAAAACUUUUUUAAAAAUAAAAAUUGAAUUUUUUUUAAUUUGUGCAAAAACAAUUAUACUUAUUAAAGACAAGAAGACCCUAAGAAUUUAAGAUUUUACAAUUAAAAAGUUUUUUUUUAAAAUCUUGAUUGGGGCGAUCAAAAAAUAUUAAUAACUUUUUAAAAUUUAAAUUGAUCUAUUAUUAAUAAACUAAUGAAUUAAAUACUCUAGGGAUAACAGCGUAAUAAUUUUUGAUAGAUCUUAUUGACAAAAUAGUUUGCGACCUCGAUGUUGGAUUAGGAUUCUUUUUUAAUGAAGAAGUUAAAAAAAGAAGUUUGUUCAACUUUUAAAUUCCUACUUGAUCUGAGUUCAAACCGGA
rnacentral:rRNA from 1 species